UUGAUUGAAAUAUAGUUUUAAUAACUUUUACCCUGUCAGUUUUUGUGCAGUAAAAGUAAAUGAAAAUGACCUCAAACCAUUUCUCUCUCUCCAUCACUCUUUCCAUGCAGGUCCACUGGCACUAAUAUGUUCUCUGCUCAGCUGACAGAGACAAGAGAUACAGGAAUCCAUUAUGUUCCAAGUAGGUUACCUUGGCACUCCUGUAGGCACAACACUCCCACUCGGACUUCCUGCAGGAGACAGGUCAGUGUGUGUAGAGAGAACACGUUUGAUCAAGUGGGGUCAGGCUUCUACUUCAUCACCCUGGACCAGUGAGUCACCAACUCAUCGUAUGCCUUACACAACUCAGCACAUAUGUAUUGCUCCACCUUCCUCAAACAAUUAUGCUGAUGCUCCACUGUAAGGAACCUGGAGAUCUUCAUUGGUUCUGAGGGAGGUGACGUGGCCACAAACAGUGCCUGGAACACCUUCCAGCGCUACUGCUGUCUGGAGAACAGCCAGAGGGUGGUCAAGACACCUGCUGUAACUCCAUCUUUAGUGUGUCAGCUCUGCCGCACCUGGGAGAUAAAGCUGAGGGAUUCAAAUUCAUAGACAGAGCUACGGAUGCAAGGACUGACCAUCUCGCCUCCUUCUAAAACCCCAUUAGAGGAGACGACCCUUCCUCACCUCAGACCUCCUCCAAUGGGUUAAGAGAAGGAUAUGACUCUAGCUUGCUGAUAACAUCUGACUUGAUGGGACUCCUGUAUUACUGACUAUAUAAAAUAAAAUGUCCAAUGCCAAGUGGAAAUCAUUUCAUAUUCUGUAAUUGAUAGACAAUGGUAGUUCCAAUCAGACAAUUUCUAUAAAACAAGUAUAUUUUCCUUGGUGCAAUGUUUGGUGAAUGCAUGGUGUUGUUUUUUCCUCAGUACUCCUUUGAAUGCCGUGUGUACUGAUUUAGUUCUAAAUGGCCAUCAUCAAGUCCAUCCUCACCUCCUCCUUCACUGCAACAUAUUGUACAGUCUGCUGACUCCAGGGCAAGGAAGCGUGCAGGAAAGAUCAUUGCUGACCCCUUCCACCCCCUCUUCUCCCCUCUGGCAAACGGUUCAGGUCAAUCAUGACCAAAACCUCCCGCCACCUGAACAGUUUGUUCCCCCGUGCCGUGGUCCUCACCAACUGGCCACCUGGUACACGAUGAUCCUCUCAUCCAUAGACAUCGCAUUCUGCACUAUUCAUACACAGACUAUGCACCCUUGCACUAUCAUCCCAGAACUACACAUUGCACUUUGCACUAUCUGCACAUCUCAUACAUGCAUAGUUUAUGUAUGUGGAUCUGUGUCAAUUCUGUAUCUAUAUAUUAUUUUUUUUGUAUUCUGUUUAUCAUCUGUCUGUACAUUCUGUUUAUUGUGGCAGCACCAUUUCACAGAGUCAAAUUCCUGUACAUGUGAAUAAAGCUGGUGUAUCAUAUGUCAGUUAACAUUCUAUUAUUUGGGACUAGUUAUGUUCUGUACGAACUGUAGCAGA